rnacentral:lncRNA from 1 species
CCUUUCCAGCACAGGCCUGCUCUGGGCCGCCCUGCCUCCCCCAGAGGCUGCAGGGAGCCCCAAGCAGGCGCAUUGCGGGCUCUGCUCAGAGAGACGCCUCCACGGGUUAAUUCAGCGGCCUCUGUCUGGAAUUCAUGCACCACCUGGGCUGACAGCAUGAAUGACUCAUUGUUUCCCCUCUGAACAGGCUGAGGAGUGCUUCUUGGUGUCAAUAACUGAGGCAAAGUAAAAUUGUUUUUUCCCUUUCAACAUGACCAAUUUUCUAAGACUGAAUAUAGAACUGGAAAUCUGCAGGGUGUGUUUCUUCUGCGGCAACGGUAGCCAAGGUUACUGCUUUGAGUUGGUCUGCAGGGACAGAGGAUUAAAAUUUACUGUCUAUAAACAGAAGAAGGCCUAAAGCCAGAGCUCCUUUAUUUACAGCUUGUGUCAUGGUUUUAUAAAAUGAAGGAAACUUAAUUGAAACCUCUAGUUUGUGUAAACCUGGGAUCUGACUGUACACAAUACCUGAUUUUAUUUCUAAUACCCGUGAUUUGUAUAAAUGAAGAUUUUGAUGAUAAUUUUCCCAUAGCUAAGUAUAAGACAUGUAUGCUUUGAAGUCCAUAUAUGAAUCUUCCAUACCAGCAUUUCCAAAGCAGUGUAUUAAUAAUUAUGCCCCACCUUCAAUUUUCCUAUAUGGCACCCUUCUCAUUUUCAGUUACUUUUAGUUUCCUUGGGAAACUGGACUGGUUGAUAUUCCUGGACUAUGGGAUCUUUUUGCCUUGCUUACGCAUAUCUCAGUCCAAAAGCUUGACAGCCAGAACUAUACAGAUAUUUUACUACCUUUCUGCAAGUGUGCGUGUAUAACACUCUUGUUUCUUUGAACUCUUGUUUCUUUGGCCUCUUAUACUUUCCUAAACUUUAGGUGUUUUUUUAAAAAAAUUCAAAAAGAGGCCGGGCGCGGUGGCUCAUGCCUGUAAUCUCAGCACUUUGGGAGGCCGAGGGGGUCAGGUCACGAGGUCAAGAGAUGGAGACCAUCCUGGCCACUAUGGUGAAACCCCAUCUCUACUAAAAAUACAAAAAUUAGCUGGGCAUGGUGGUGUAUGCCUGUAGUCCCAGCUACCCGGAGGCUGAGGCAGGAGAAUUGCUUGAACCAGAGUUGGAGACUGCAGUGAGCCAAGAUCACACCACUGCACUCCAGCCUGGCGACAGAGCAAGACUCUAUCUCAGAAAAAAAAAAAAAAAAAAAUUCAAAAAGAAAGAUGUAGAAAAAAAAGAAAUAAAUGCAGAAAGGAAAGGGAAAAAGGUCUUGUGUAGAUUCAGGACCUUGGUUCUAAUUCAAAUCUGGGAGGUUAGCAUGCAACAGAGUACUUUCUUCAUCCAAUUAAGUAGCAGCCCUGAAUAGAUUCCAAGUCAUUCUGACUUUGAAUAGGGAUGAGGACAGCUGAUACUGAAGAAGAGAGAAUGUUGAGGCCCAUGUAUAGCCUUAAAAGAGAGAGAGAAUGAACUUGGGAUGUGGAGAUUAAAUAGGGCGUUUAAUAAAAUGGCAGUAGAUGCUUUUAUUUUAAUUGGUAUCAAUCAGCUCAAGUAACCUUUAAAUUUCUGCAAUAACAGGAGACU